rnacentral:tRNA from 1 species
GUAGCUCAGUGGAAGAGCACCUGUUUCACAUGCAUAAGGUUCUGGGUUUGAUCCCCAGC